rnacentral:lncRNA from 1 species
UCAUCACUCUCAGUACCACAUGUCUCAUAUCUAUUUUAGCUGGAUAGCUAAGUUACAUUAUAGUAUAACAUAAUUACAUGACACUCAGAGUGAAGCGAUAAUAUAAUCUAAGUUACAUUACUUGCAUCAACUUAAAAGUUGUACGCAGAAACUCAGGUACAGUUGUAUUGAAUACUAUUUUUUAAUCAUUGGACUCCACUUUGAGUGUCAUGUAAUUACGGUAUAAUGUAACUUAGCUACACUCACCAAGUUGAGUGUAACUUAAUUACACGACACUCAAACAACCUAAUCGUUAUUGUCCAAAAUCCUCCCUUGAUAUGAUUUACGUACGUGGUGGUCAUACAAUAAUUAUUACUUCAUUAAUUCCUGUCCAAUAUCUUCACUUGAUACGGUUUAUUUGGUAAGUGAUACACCACUUAUGAUUUUGUCCAGUAUCUUAAAAUAACGGUCCAUGACAUCAUUCCAUGCUCAAAUAACAUUUAUAGAAUUGAGAAAUUAUAGAAUACCUCUGAGAUACCAUGUCAGCUAUACAAAAAAUAAAUGAUAUUAUAAGAUGUGUGCAAUUAUCUUGAAAAACCAGCAUGUAAAUAGUAGUUAUAUAAAAUCAACUACAAGUUAUACAUUCAUUAAUUAAUUAUAUCACCUCUAAUAUAUUCUAAAAUUCUUUAUAUAAUUUAUAUCAACCACAUGAAGUGAUUUCAUCUUGAUGUUGUAGGCACAUUUAUAAGACCAAUAACAUUUAAACAUUCGUGAAUAUACACAACAAAUAUCAUCGAUUAGUUCAUUUGUUUUAUAUCUUGGAAAUAUUGAAUUUGGUAAGCGUUGGGUUGCGCUUCAAGUUCCAAUAAAAACAAUAUUUGAUUCCCUUAAUUUAUUUCAUUAAUCUUCACGUCUCAAGUAACUCUAUUGUUUUGUUUUCCAAAAUUUCCUCAUCACUUUUUUUUUAAAAAAAUAAUCCUUAUGCAAGUUCUUUAGUGUUCUCCAAUCCCAAAUUUUCAACCAUAAAUUUGAAUUUUUAAACUUAAUUUGACAAAUUGCAUGUUAAUGUUGUUUUAUUUAAUUAAGAUUAAAGACAAAUAUAAAAUCAUUGAUUAAAUUAGUGUUGCAUUGUUUACCUAUUGGUGAGCGGUAUAUAUUACAACAUUAAAUCAAUAAUCACUACAACAAAAAAGCGCUUUAGCGAUGAACAGUUUCGUCGUUAAAACAUGCAAUUUUUGUCACUAAAGGCUAUAACAACGAAAAACAUUUUGUAACCAUUUCAUCAUCAUAGGAUCGUGGCGUUAGGUCUUUGGUGUCGAAUUUUUAAAUUUCGUCACUAAAGUACUUUUAGCAAUGAAUCUUGCUUUGUCACCAAAAGAACUUUUAGUAACGAAUACUUUUGGAAUGCUAAAAGUACGCAUUUAUCAACGAAUAAUAAUCUCGUGGCUAAAAGUACUUUUAUCGACGAAAACUAUUUUGUCGCUAAAAGGUAUCAUUUUUCUUUCAUUUAUUUAUUGUUACUAUUCUAAAAAUAUUAUUAUUUUUAAUAUAA